ensembl:lncRNA
GCCAGAAUGAGGGGGAGGCGUGGUUUGAGUGAGCGAUUGACAGGGAGGAGAAACAAAUGGACAAGGAAAGAAAGGGGAAUGUGAAAUAGAGGAUAGAAGCUUGUCUUGGGGAAAGAAGGGACUUAGGAAGAGAGCCAGUGUGCUCACUUACUCCAGCAAGUAGGGGUCCUGGCAGGGAUGGAACACUUGCUGCUGUGGAGCCCAUAAGUGGCUGCCUAGUUCUGGAGGCUGGGAAGUCCAAGACCAAGAUGCUGGCAGGUUUGGUGUCUGGUGGGAGCCUACUUCCUAGAUGGCCAUCUUGUUGCUGUAACCUCACAUGGUGGAAGGGACAAGGGAGUUUCCUUGGGCUUCUUUUAUAAGGACACUAAUCUCACGCAUGAGAGCUUUACCCAGAUGAUCUAAUCACCUCCUAAUACUGUUGCCUUGGGGGUUAGGUUUCAGCAUAUGAAUUUUGGAGGAACGCAAACGUUCAGACCAUAACAGAACCAUAAAGGACUCACUGCUUAGGUCAUGUCAAAUGCGUGCAGGUGAAGUGAUCACCCCUUUAUUCUUCAGGACUGAAGCAGACCACAGCCUUCUAUCUUGUCUCUUAGACUGGCUUGCCUGCCCUCCCUUAUUGUUUUAAACUGUGUUUAACCAUUCUUCUGAUUGGUGUGCAGGAUCCCUAUAACUUAGAUGUUCAUUUAAUCUAUACAUGAUGCGGAAGCCAAGGGAGAAUUCAGAGAAUUUGAAAGGGUGAGUAGGAGCCAGCUGCCAGAAGGCACAGGGGAAGAGCUUUCCAGGCAGAUGGAAUAAGGAGGGAAAGGCUCUAAGGCAGUGACCUUGGUGAGUUCAGGAAACAGAGGUCCCUUGAGGCUGGAGCACAUAACUAGGGGGGAAGUGGCUUGAAAUGAAGUCAGAGAGGAAAUCAGGGGUCCAACUACAGUUGCGGAUAGUGGGGCUUGCAGCGUAGGGUAUGAAAUCUGGGCAGGGGUGGCUGCUGGAAAAGACAAGAAUGUCCCCUUAAGGGCCCCAAUUUAAAAUUGCGGAACAGCAGAGGAGAUGAACCUAGCUAAACCUCCUAAAUGAAGAUGACGUGGGGUAUACAGGAGGAAACACAAAGACCUCUACUUUGCACCAGAGUGCCAUGUCCUAAAGAACAUUAUUAAGAGCCAUACCAACUUCUCAAACCCAGAAAAUGAAGGGCAUUUGAGAGGAUGUUUAGACCACAAACCCAAUUCAAAGCUGCAGACUGCCUUAAGUGACUUCCUCUGGAGGACUCCGUGGGGCAUCCACCUCUGAGGAUGGAGAUGCACCUUCCCAUUGUUUUCUCUGUAGAAAAGUGGGCAAUCUUUUAUAUUGUUGAUGGCAGUACAUGGAAGUUUAAUACUCACUAGCUCAGGGCUUGUCCUCUAAAAGUUUAUAACUAGACUAUAUACAUAAGGUUUUAACCCAUUAUCUGAUGGUGGGUAUAGUUGCAGUGGAGGAUAAAGUCCAGAAGGGUAAAAAAUACUGGAGCGUCAUAUCACCCUGUAGAUUUCAGAGUCCUAAUGAGUUUCUAUGCAACCCUCGCCUUAACUAUUCCACUUGAGAGAAAAUGAUCAUAUAAAGCCCUUAAAUGUUUGUUUUUAAAGGGCUUAUUUUUAAGUUAUUUACCCCUUCUGUCUGGGGUUUCUACACUGUUGUCCCCUUGUACUAAGCCACCAUAAUCUCUCAUCAGGACUAUCGCAAUAACUAAUUUAUCUUUCUGCUUCCACACCUACAUCCUUACAGGCUGUUUCUCAAACAGCAGUCUGAGUGAAUCUUCUAAACACUAAAUCAGGACUUUUUUUUCCCUGUAAUGGUGGGCUAGGUUGUCUGGGUCAACCCUCUGGCUGAAAACAAUUUGAAAAGAAAAACGGACAAAAUAUAAGAAACAUUUUCUUAAGAUUAGUGACGAGAUGACAAAACAAUAAAGAAUUAUAAGGGAAGACUUAAGAAGGGUAAGAAGUCAUGGGAGCCACCCUUGCCUUGAAGAUACUUGUAUAUUCCCCAGACAAGAAUGUUUUGACAGCAUCGUGAUUCCCAGAGUAGAGAAGUCGAAGCCGGGGGCUGGCAAAGUAGAGAGUCUAAUGGGAGACUGUGGUGAAUAGGCUCUAAGGUAUCCCCCCACCCCCACCAAAUGUAGGGGAAGGGACCUGUGACUUUAAUCUAACCAAGAGAAUAUGGCAAAGUGAUGGGACGUCACUCCCGUGAUAUGUUAUAAAAGUCUCAGUCUUGUUAGUAGACACAAGGCAAGGAGCUUAAGACAGCUUCUAGCUAGAAAUUAAAACCACAGAUUCAAGAAAUCCUAUGAAUCCCAACCAAUACAGAGGAAAUCAAUACCUAGAGUCAUAAUGAGACUGUAGAAAACAGAAUAAGAGAAAAGCUUAAAAGCUGCUAGAGAAAAGGAUAAGUUAUCUUUAAGAAAGGUGCAUGGUACAUGGGAGAUGCUUAAUAAAUAUUUUUAAGUGAAUAAACAACUACACUAUAUCUGGGAGAUUUUCUGCUUACUAGCACUAUAACUUGUGUCACUUGACCUCUUUGAAACUCAAUCUCCUAAUGUGAAAACAUGGAUAACAAAAUCUACUUUAUAAGGACAGGUGUCAGGAUUAAAUUUGUAUUGAGUUACACACAGAACAUCCACAGCUCCUAGUAUAUGUUAAGUGCUCCUGUUCUCUCAGAUUCUCUCCCAAAUUUGAGUUUCUUGUCUGUUCUAUGCAAAUUUACUCUCUAAUCUAGAUCUCCAGUCCAGGCUUUCUUCCCAGUUCCAAACAUCCAUCUUGAAAUACUUCUAUAUCUAAAAUAUAUUUGCUUCCUUCCCUUUUAAAGGGCUGGAGGCUUCAGAAAAACAAGUCCUACUGCAAUUAACACCUGUUCAGGGACAGGGAAAAAAAAAAGGUGAAUGAACAAACAUCUAGCUUAGAGUGGACCUGACAAUUCCCUGACCUAAAUUAUACUGAGUAGUGUUUCCCAAAUUUCUGUCUUGAUAAGAAUUACCCGGGGCAGUUGUUAGUUUUUGGUUCCUUCUCAAGAAUGAUAUGAUUCUCUAGGUUUAGGGUAAAACCCAGGAACCUGACUUUUUAACAAGUACCCAGGUGACUCUCACCUUCAUAGAACAGUGAGAAGAUGGCUAGGAGGUGAGGAUUAUAAAAUUGGCCAAGCCACUAAUUAAUUAGAGUGAACAGAUAUUUUCUGCUAUGGGGAAGGAGAGAAGAAACUACAAAUAAGAGGCUGGAUCUGUGGAGGUGAAUAUAUCAUGGCCCCUGUCUGCACAGGUUCACUAACUUUUGGAAGACAUCUGUGUACAUAACAUAUUUGAAAGCAAGCGGACUAUGCUCCCAUUAGCUGGGCAGUAAUGGACAAAAUUGUGGGGACCUGGGAAAAUUUUGUGACGAAAGUGUGCUCUGAGCUAGACUAUUCUUUAGACUUCUAGAUUUUUUUUCAGGUGACUAAAAAAGAAACGGAAUUCCAGGAAAGAAAAAUUGUUUUAAGCAAAGAAAGAUAGGUAGAAGAUGCUCACAUUGGUUGUAAUAAAAGCAAGAAAACUGAGUUAAUCCCAUCCACACCUCCAGGGCAUGCCCACUAAGAGGGGGGAGGUAGAAAAGGCCUGGUGGAAACGAGUGGACUGUGCAGAAUCUCUGACCAGAUUAGUGGAGAGAAUGGGUGAGAAGAGAGAAUAGAAACCUGAAAAAUCUACUAGGACACUAGGAGCCCCUGAGACUGAGAAAGCCCAAGGUUAGUUCCUGCCUCAGGACCCCGGAUCCCCAUACUUUCAGGGCUCACCUUCUGACUCCAUAACUGACCAGCAAAUUUAGCCCCAAUGUGCGACAACCCUCCCUAAUCCACCUUGAUAAAGGGUAGAGACCUUGAGUUCCCCUCCUGAGACUUUAAACACUUCCUGCCUGCUCUGGUCCCUGCCUACCUAUGGAGCAUCUUUUCUUCGUUCAAACAGCCUGUUUGUUUCUGCAUCUGGAACGCUUUCUUUUUUCCAUCAGCAGUUUCCUCUGCCCAAAACGUUUCCUCUCCUUUUCAUUUGAUUAACUUAUUACAUUCGUCAGGUCUCUGAUUAAACAUUUUUUACUCAGAGAAGCCAUUCCUGCUCCCUUAGUCUAAAUUGUCCUCUACCUAUUAUGUCUCAGACACUCUGAAUUUUUCUUCAUAGCACAUACAAAUAUUUAAGAUGACAUACUCAUUUGUGUUGGCUCUCUCCCUUCACACGUUAGCUCUGAGACCCUCACCACUCUUUACUCAGUACCUAGCCCAGAGCACUCUUUCACCACUAAUAUUUGUUUAAAAAAGAGGAGGAGGAGGGGAUUGUGACCUUAAUCACCAUUAGCCUGAGGCCUUGGCACAACCCCCUUCUCCAAGGUCCUCUGCAUUCUCAAGACCCUAAUGCCUAUCCUGUUUCCUCCUCCAGAACUUGUACCUGAGUUCAAAUCCUGGUGUCAGUAUUCACUAGCUGUGGUACAUUGGAUAAAUCGUCUACACUGCUUAAAUCUCACUUUCCUUUCCCUACAAAUCAAGAUGAUAACAGUUCCUACCUCAUAGGGUUGUGAGGAGGAUUAUGAAAGAAUCCAUGUAAAACAUAUGAAAGAGCUCCUGGAAAGUGGUGAUGGAUGAAGGUUAGCUGCCAUUAUUACUGUUGCUAAUAACUAAUAACCUGUAAGAUUCAAGCUACUGGGCAUUUUUCCACAAGAAAGUCUUCAUUUUAUUAAUAUUUAAAAAGAGAUGUUAUAAAAUAAAUAAACUUGCAUUUUGUUAAUAUGUAUAAGGAGAUCUUUUAAAUCAAUAGGAAAAUGAAAUUUAAAAAUGGGCAAAGAUUAUAAACAUGUAAAUUCACAGAAAAAAUGUUUAAAAAGUUUUGAAUAUAAAUUAUCAGAGUAGAAAGAAGGAGAGAAAGGGGCACAGUCUGGCUCUCAGAUGCUCCCACAUCUUCACUCUUAAAGUUCUUCCCUUUAGUGUUUGGGAAGAAGGAAAAGCAAAAAAGCCAGGGCCUCCUUCCUUGGCGGGGUGAUGCUGUGCUCCCUUCUGUCUGAAGGUUACUGCUUCUCUGCUGCCCAUGCAGCUGCCAUGAUGCCCUCCAUGAGUGCUGGCUCUUACGGAGCACACACAUGGGGUUCUUUGGAGGUCACAUAUUUCUCUACCUCUUAUCAUGCCCGUGAAAACCCUCCUCACCAGUAAUUUAGUUCUGGGACUCACCAGUGAUGUCUCAUGCAUGCUCUUCAUGCACUCCCAUGUGGCUCUUGCCAUUGUUUUCUCCAUUCCAUUCCUUGGACACUUCCACUGUCCUAGGACACUGCUGUCACUUCUGCCAGGGUUUCGCUACCUAGGAACCAUGACAUUUUCCUCCAGAUGUGUGGAGGACGCCCUACUUCUGACUCUGUGCCACGCAUAUUCUAGAUAUGUAAGGUGGUACCAUUCCUGAAAGGGGGUUCUGCAAUGGACUUCUCUAAGGAGAUUCAGUUGCUAAAGAAUCUAAAGAGCCCACCCGGAAGUGGUCCCAGAGCAUGAGCUGGGGAGAGUAUUGGGCUUACGACCCUCCAUUCCACCUUCAUUCCUUUUUUCCCUCUUUUCUUCAGUUUAUUCCCUUCUUAAGGUGUGAUUCAGUGGGUCAGCAUCCUCUAGGAGGUUGUUAGAAGUGAAGAAUCUCAGGCCCAUCCCCAGCCCUUCUAAGUCAGAGCCUGCAUUUUAACAAGAUCCCGAAUUAAUUACUAUACCCAUUAAAGUUUGAGAAAUUCUGAUAUAUAGGACAGAAUUUUUGAAUUCUCCCACUCCAGUUCUUCAUAUCCAAGCUCACUUUACCUCCCAGAGCUUCAUUCCCCCUUUUGCAUCAUAUGCUCUUCAUCGUAUGGGUAUUUCUUGGUUGCUGAGCUGAUUGGCCCAUAGUGUCUGCCACAGUAGUUCCUCAGGGAUUCCAUUUAAGCAGCCUCACAUCUGUUCCCUGUACACUCCCUAAUAAUUAAAAAAAUAACCCAACCCAGCAUGAUAGGUUAUCAUAUACCGACAAAUGGUGGAUUUUGAUGGAAUGUUGAAAUCGCCUGCACCUAUAACUCCAUAAUAAUCUUCACAUAAGUUUUGUGAUAUUUCAGUAUGUUAUGGAGGGGAAAAUGAUUAUACUGCACCUACUUUAUUAACAAAUGCACACAUUCACUAUGCUUAGAAACAAACAGCACAAGUCACAUUGAAAUUGUACACGCACGUGGUCCUUGAAGAUAAUAGUCUCCUCGGCCCAUAACUUGUAUCAGGCGUUGGUUUGGCGACCUUAUUGCUCUCUGCAGAGAGGUUGUAAAGGGCUCUAGCUGGUGUCCAUCUGCCACUCCAAAGAGCAGAGUCUCUAGAACUCACCCACAGUUUCUUUGGUAUGCUUCCUGGGACAUAAUUCUCACAAAACACAAGGGACUGCCUUGUGAGUUUUUAGAAUUCACUGCAUCUUCUGUACGACUUGAUUUCUCUGUGGUUUUGACAAGCUGGAUGAACCAGCACUGAUUUUUCUUUUCCUCCUCUGAUAAACAAGCUUUUAGCUCUACAACGUUCAGUCUGAUGAAUCGCAUGGAAUAAAGUAAGAAACUAGAAGACCCUCAAAAAGACGUGAAAACUUGGUAUUUUCCUGCCUGGCUGCUGUGCCCUUUGUGGUUGACAAGUUUCUUAGAGCCUUCCGGGCCUUUUUCUGGGUGGGCUGUCUAUCCUGGGGAUGGAAAUUUCUGAAGUCCUGUUGAACCACUUUUGGGGGACAGUGGUUGGCUUACCGGAGGUUGGGAAAGAGGCCGUCUUCUUGGAGUGAAUUUGUACAGUUGCUACGUUAAAAGGGUACAUUUGAUAGGGUGUGAUCAUAAAGCAACUUUACUUUUUUUUUCUGCCCCCUCUGCUCAGGGGCUAGUUCCUUCCUUUCUCCUGGAUAAAAUCUCAGGUGGAUUCCUGUAGCUUUUCCAGACACUCUUAGAAAAAUUUAAAAGUCCUCCAGUCAAUUUUAGUCAUAAAAUAGUCUCAUUUCAGUCACUGAAACGUCCAGUCCCAUGUAAUAGUUAAAGCUCUGAACUCUAUUUAAGGCAAAUAUUUCUCCUUUCUCUAUUCCCCCAUCCCAGGCUGAGUCAGGCUGGAAGCCUGCAGUGAAGUGAGGGAGGUCGGGGCUAGGAGGGUGGGGGUGGCACAGCUGGCUUCUUUGUUUUCCCACCUAGGCUUCUACUCCUCUCCCACUCCCUCUAGGGUGUGGAUCCUGCAAGACUUGGGGUGGAGGUGGGAGAAGGGAAGACGGAGAGGAGGAUGUGCCUGCAUUUAGAGAAACUGUAGCGCUUGGUGGUGUGUUCCAGGAUCUUGGUGGAUGUUCCCUAGGGACUCCUCCUCUGAUGGGCACUUGUGUGGGGCCCUUGGAGAUGACUCCACUGAAAACACUGGACUGUGAGCCCUCCUAUGCUGGCCACUUGUUACACUGGCUUCUGCUUUUGAUUUCAACCCGGUGUUGCCUAGCAGCCUCUAGCAGAAAGCCCACUGUGGUGGGGGCUCCUUGAAAACAACCCUGAUGCUCACUUUCUCUCUUCCCGCCUCUGGUCGACAAGGAACGUGCUCUUCUGCUCUGUGUUUAGUGGUUUAUGCAUUCCUCUUCAUCCUGCCACCUGACUCCAGCCACAGCCUUUUGCCUUUAAUCUUCUCCGGUAUGGGUCAAAUACCAGUCGCUUUGGCCCUGUCAGUUCUAAGGGACGCCUUUUUCCAAUUCAUCUUUCAAAGCUCCCUCUCACAAGCCUUGAGGUGAGCAGGAGCUCAGCCUCCGCAAGGGGGAGGAGGUGGGCGGGAAAACGCUGCAGUGCCUCCAGCUCUUGUUUCCAAAGUCUCUCUUUUCAAGUUCUUCAACCUCCAACCUUGAGGGGUUGAGGGGUGGGUGUCAAUCUGAGGUUCAUAAAACUGUCUCCAACCAGCUCCUUUGCCCGUCCUUGCACUAGUCUCACAACCCACUUUGAAGUAAGAGGAUUUGCCACCUACUGUUUUUUAAUUUGCUUCUGAGCCUCAGCUGCAUCUAAGACAGAGAGCCCGUUUUAACAUCAGGUCCCGCUGUAGCUGCACUAACACCCAUGAAGUUUAAUUUGAAAGCCCCCAGAGGACAAGGAAGCAACUCUUCCUUUUUCAAGCACUGUUUUAGGUGUAUGAGUGACAGACUAUCUUUUUUUUCUUUCUGUUCUUAUUAACAAUAUAUUUGUAAUACUUAUUACGCUAUAGCUUUGUGAGGAUUUCUUUUUUCUUUUUUUUUUGGUUUCAACUCGCAGGGAAUGAAAUUGGGAAAUGAGAUUGGAGAAUUCACCACGGCUCUCAAAUCAAAAAGAAUUUUUACAUAGGAGUUUCAGAGAAGUUGGAAACACCUGUUAUUUUUCUUGCUGAAAGCAGUUCAAGGCAAAUGCUUUCAGAUUUAUGUUUUCUUUUUACGUUGGAAACUGAAGUCAGAGAGACUUAAACAACUUCAAGUUAAAAAUUUUUUUGUUUUGUUUUUCGCUUUUCACAUCAGGCUUCAGAAACAGGGGGAAAAUGUUGAAACAUGGGAGGAAGGUUGAUUUUUCUUUUCCAUUGCGUGUGGCCAGGCUGCUGAUCUCGUGGGUACUGGCUGAGAGUGCCUGGCCGGACUGGAUGAAAGCUGUGGGGCUGAUGGGGCUGGGGAAGCGUUGUUAACGUAGUCCCAGAGUAAUGAGGCCAGGCCUGGGAGUGACUGAAUUAUAGGGAGGUCUGGUAGGACCAUAUCUUGCUUGCAUAAGGAGUGGCAUCAGCAUUUCAACCUUAAUGGUAACCUCAUGUAGGGAAAAAUUUGAGCUUCAAUAACAUUAUGCGUUAUCUAUAGUAUGCCUUUCCCAUUAUCUGAUUCUGAUUCUAUUGGAGCUAUUGUACAACUCAGAGUUAAUGCCAAACACCAGCCCUCCCCCCCAAAAAAAAUAAUUUGACUCCAUUUGCACAUGCAUUUUUCAAUAUUCCUAAUCUAUAAAUGUGUCUGUUCUUUGGAUUCUCCUUUGGACUGGUUAUAACACCUCGUCAGUUUCCUCAUUAGUGAGUUAAACAAAAUCUUUAAUAUGUAUUUAUAUAUUUGUCUAUUUUGAGCCCAAAUCAAUUAAGAGAAUAGCUCUUUGAUACCAGGACUGAUGAGAUUUGGAGUUUCUGUAUUUACUCUUGAUUCAUGACUGAAAUUACAGAAUUGAAGCUCUCUUCAUCUAUCUCUGAAUGUCUAUGUGUCUGUAGUUUAGAAAGGCCUUAUCUCUCAUUGUGUGAGUGUGUAAUAUUUUCCUACCUCCAGAGGGCGUUUAAUAAAUUUGAUUACAAAGUCUCAUGUUAAAGGAGUUCUUUUCUGAUUGGCUGAUAGAGAUAAAUUAGUGCUUAUAUAAAUUGCGUAUUCUUAAAAUUCCCAGAAGGUAGUGAAAUUAAGUUUCUGAUAUUUUUAAUGUGCUACAUUAAAAAAUAUUCUUACAGAAACCAAUUCAAUAACAUUUUAAGUAGACCUUUGGAAAGCGAGACUAGUUUAAUAUUUGGGAUUUAAUAAAAACAGCUGUAGGGGCCAGGCAUAGUGGUUGAGUUCAUGCACUCUGCUUUGGCUGCCUCAGGAUCACAGGUUCGGAUCCCAGGCACAGACCUAGCAUGGCUCGUCAAGCCACGCUGUAGCAGCAUCCCACAUACAACACAGAGGAAGAGUGACAUGAAUGUUAGCUCAUCAACAAUCUUCCUCAAGCAAGGAGAGGAAGAUUGGCAACAGAUGUUAGCUCGCCGGGACAAUCUUCCUCACCAAAAACAAAAACAAAAAAAACCUGUAUUUUCUCUGAUUUAUUCGUGUUAAGUAUAAUUCCUAACAAUAUUCUCCUUGGAUAUGUUUUUUCUAAACUUACGCAUGUUUACUGAUGAAAUAAGUUAACAUUACUCAUAAUGUUUAAGAUUAUGAAAAACGCAAAUUUGUGUUUAAUUGAAUGAUUAUUCAGAAAAACUUUUUACCUUUUUUAUUUCAACAGCAAUUUUGUUUUGUAGUAUGUCAGCUUGAAAGUAAUUUCCAAGAGCUUUAGGUAACUUAAAACCUUGGACUGAUACUAAAGUUGAGUUAAUUAAUGGAUAAUCUUUGGAUGACACGAUCAUUCUUAAAACAGAAUACUGAACGUUGAUCACUGAGCAUAAUUUUAAGUUCAUAUGCUUUUGCUUUGUGUAUUUACAUGCUACAAAAAAGCUAUAUCUUUGGGUCUGUUAAUGAAUGUGUUCAUUUUUGCCACUUUGGUAAGUUGUACUGUAAGGGAUGUGUGUGGCUAUGGAAAGUUAUGUUUUAUGUAUUUGAGCCCUGCUGGUCUGUUAAAAAGCUGAAAAGCUGAUAUGAGACAUAGAGUUCACAGUUAUCCAUUUCCUCACUGCCCCUCAACCUCCACCCCACUCCAGUUUUCUCUGUGAAAUAGAAUUUACUUUGGUUAAAACUUAAUUUAUGUUAAGUUGAAACUGUAUUGAUGAGCAAUAGAGAAAUACAACUUGUGUACAUGCUUGUGUUUUUCAAGAAAAAAGAGUAGUUUUGUCCUAAAGUAAUGCUGCUCAAGGUUUUGUGUAUUUUCUUUGUUUUGUCUCCAAAGCCCCCUUUGCACUCUUCAAAUAUCUUGAGGACCUUAUAAUAGAGUAUUUGUGUGUGUGUGUGUGUGUGUGUGUGUGUGCG